GUGGAUUAGAUACCCUGGUAGUCCACGCCGUAAACGAUGAGUACUAGGUGUAGGGGGGUCCAACCCUCUGUGCCGCAGUUAACACAAUAAGUACUCCGCCUGGGAAGUACGAUCGCAAGAUUAAAACUCAAAGGAAUUGACGGGGGCCCGCACAAGCAGCGGAGCAUGUGGUUUAAUUCGAAGCAACGCGAAGAACCUUACCUGGACUUGACAUCCCCUGAAUAGUGCAGAGAUGCAUGAAGCCCUUCGGGGCAGGGAGACAGGUGGUGCACGGCCGUCGUCAACU
rnacentral:rRNA from 1 species